GGCCGUGUGGGCUAAUGGAUAAGGCGCCUGACUUCGGAUCAGGAGAUUGCAGGUUCGAGUCCUGUCACGGUCA
rnacentral:tRNA from 1 species